AGGCGUGUAGGUGCGGCGUCCCUUGAGCAUCACCUGGCCGCGGGUCCCGAGGCUCUCCGUGGAAACCGAGCCCAGAACAAUCCCCUCUGAGCGCCUGGCACUGUCUUCCUUACCGCACUCGGGAGAGAGAGCACGUACACAAAAGUUGGGGAAAGAACAGAGAGAUUGGGAUAAGCAGACUCUGCGCUGAGCCCAGAUCCUGAUGUGAGGCUCAAUCUCAAGAUCCUGAAAUCAUGACCUGAGCCAAAAUCAAGAGUCAGAUGUUCAGCUGACCAAGUCACCCAGAGACACACAGAGAGAGAAAGGCAGAGACACACAGGCAGAGGGAGAAGCUGGCUCCACACAGGGAGCCCGACGUGGGACUGGAUUCCAGGGUCUCCGGGAUCACGCCAUGGGCUGGAGGCGGCACCAAACCUGCUGAGCCACCAGGGCUGCCCCUGUUGCCAAUUUCUAUCCUCAUCCCAUAAUGGCUGGAGAAGAUACUUUAUAUGAUACCUAUCUUUUUAAAUCUAUCGAGGCUUGUUUUGUAGACUAACAUAUGGUUUAUCCUAGAGAA